rnacentral:rRNA from 1 species
UACAUGGGGUGCAAACGUUGCUCGGAAUUCAUUGGGCGUAAAGCGCGCGUAGGCGGUUACUUAAGUUGGAUGUGAAAGCCCUCGGCUUAACUGAGGAAGUGCAUCCAAAACUGAGUAGCUAGAGCACGAAAGAGGGUCGCGGAAUUCCCGGUGUAGAGGUGAAAUUCGUAGAUAUCGGGAGGAACACCGGUGGCGAAGGCGGCGACCUGGGUCGAGACUGACGCUGAGGCGCGAAAGCUAGGGGAGCAAACAGG